UUGAGUGUUCUCUAAAGAAUGACAAAGUCAUCUUUCAUUUUUGAUUACUAACAUCAUUUACUCAUUUUAUUAUAUUAACUUUUACUUCAAUGUCAUUGACUUUAUGCUCUUUAUUUUAUACCUUUUACUUUAUACUUCAUGUUUAACAUCCCAUAUCAUAUUGUUUGUGAUUAUGUUACUUGUUCUUUGUCCAUUUGGACUUUUCUUUCAUUCAUUGUAAA
rnacentral:lncRNA from 1 species